rnacentral:rRNA from 1 species
GACGAACGCUGGCGGCGUGCUUAACACAUGCAAGUCGAACGGAAAGGCCCUGCUUUUGUGGGGUGCUCGAGUGGCGAACGGGUGAGUAACACGUGAGUAACCUACCCUUGACUUUGGGAUAACUUCAGGAAACUGGGGCUAAUACCGGAUAGGAGCUCCUGCUGCAUGGUGGGGGUUGGAAAGUUUCGGCGGUUGGGGAUGGACUCGCGGCUUAUCAGCUUGUUGGUGGGGUAGUGGCUUACCAAGGCUUUGACGGGUAGCCGGCCUGAGAGGGUGACCGGCCACAUUGGGACUGAGAUACGGCCCAGACUCCUACGGGAGGCAGCAGUGGGGAAUAUUGCACAAUGGGCGGAAGCCUGAUGCAGCAACGCCGCGUGCGGGAUGACGGCCUUCGGGUUGUAAACCGCUUCCGCCUGUGACGAAGCGUGAGUGACGGUAAUGGGUAAAGAAGCACCGGCUAACUACGUG